AACGAACGCUGGCGGCAGGCUUAACACAUGCAAGUCGAGCGCCCCGCAAGGGGAGCGGCAGACGGGUGAGUAACGCGUGGGAAUCUACUCAUCUCUACGGAAUAACGCAUGGAAGCGUGUGCUAAUACCGUAUACGUCCUUCGGGAGAAAGAUUUAUCGGAGAUGGAUGAGCCCGCGUUGGAUUAGCUAGUUGGUGGGGUAAAGGCCUACCAAGGCGACGAUCCAUAGCUGGUCUGAGAGGAUGAUCAGCCACACUGGGACUGAGACACGGACCAGAGUCCUACGGGAGGCAGCAGUGGGGAAUAUUGGACAAUGGGCGCAAGCCUGAUCCAGCCAUGCCGCGUGAGUGAUGAAGGCCCUAGGGUUGUAAAGCUCUUUCACCGGUGAAGAUAAUGUCGGUAACCGGAGAAGAAGCCCCGGCUAACUUCGUGCCAGCCGCCGCCGUAAAAC
rnacentral:rRNA from 1 species